CAACCACCCAAAGACAUCUCAAUCAUGGCAACCACCCACGAAUUUUUUGGCACGAUCACAUCACAUGGACAAAAAUGGAGUGCUGGACAAGAACACUGCCGUGGCUGCUGUUCAACCUCACAACGCCGCAUACCCGCACACAACGCCGCACGAUAUGUUUCCAGUUCCAGGCAACACAUUUUUCCGUUGAAUCGGACAACACAUUUCCGGCGAAAGGAGGAUGUCUCCGUACGCCGUCCUCGUCGCGGUGCUCUUGACCUUCUGCUACGUCGUUUGGAAGGCUCGAGGCAGCAGAAGUGGCAAGCUCCCGCCCUCGCCGCCGUCGCGUCCGCUGCUCGGCCACCUCCACCUCCUUGGCCGCCACCCGCACCGCUCCUUGCGCGAGCUGCACGCUCGGUACGGCACCGAUGGCGGCCUCCUGCUGUUGCAGCUCGGGCGCAGGCGGACGCUGGUGGUUUCCACGGCGGCCGCGGCGGCGGGCCUGUACAAGAACCACGACCUCGCCUUCGCCUCCCGCGUGCCCAGCGCGCCGGCCGACAAGCUGACGUACGGCUCCACCAACGUCUCCUUCGCACCCUACGGCGACGCCUGGCGCCGCAGCAAGAAGAUGGCCGUCGUCCACCUCCUCUCCCCGCGCCGUGCCGACUCGUUCGCCCCCGUGCGGGCCGCCGAGGCGGCCGCCCUCGUCGCCGGGGUGCGCCGCGCCGCGGAGGCGGGUGAGAUUGUGGAGCUGAGGGAGCUCCUGUCCGCCUACAGCAACGCGGUGGUCACCCGCGCGACCACCGGCGCCGCAGGUGCCACGGCCGAGAAGCUAAAAAAGCUUUUGGGUAACUCCGCAGCGAUCAUGUCGGGGCUCCAGGCGGAUGACGUGCUCCCCGACGCGGCGGCGAAGGUGGUUAGGUGGGCGACGGGUCUCGAGAAGAGGCUCGACGCCGAGCUCGAACAGUGGGACAAGUUCCUAUCAGAGAUAAUCGCAGAGCACCUUGAGAAGAAGCCAGACAACGGCGCAGGGGAGGAGAGCUUCCUCGACGUCCUGCUGCGGCUUAGGGAAGAAGGCGCCGCCGGACUCGAGCUCACCAACGAUCGCAUCAAAAGCCUCAUCAAGGACAUGAUAGCCGGCGGGACAGACACAGCAUCGGUCACGUUGGAAUGGGCCAUGGCGGAGCUCGUCGGGAACCCGCGGGCAAUAGCCAAGCUGCAGGACGAGAUAGAUCGAGUCACCGAAGGCAAACCGACCAUCGAGGAAGACGACCUGAGCAGGAUGGAGUACCUCAGGGCGGUGCUGAAGGAGGUGCUCCGGCUCCACCCGGCGGCACCGCUCCUCAUCCCGCACCAGUCGACGACCGCGGCGGUCGUGCAGGGCUACGAGAUCCCAGCUGAGACUGCGCUCUUCGUCAACGCGUGGGCGAUCGGGAGGGACCCGGCGGCGUGGGGAGCAACGGCGGAGGAGUUCUGGCCGGAGCGAUUCCUGGGCGGCGGCAGCGCGCAGGGCGUGGACCUGCGGGGGAACGACUACCAGCUCCUCCCGUUCGGCGCCGGCCGGCGGCUCUGCCCCGGCAUCAGCUUCGCGAUGCCGGUGCUGGAGAUCGCGCUCUGCAGCCUUGUGCGCCACUUCGACUGGAAACUCCCCGCCGAGGCACGUCUAGACAUGAACGAGGCGCCGGGACUGAUCACGCCGCCGCUGGCUCCGCUGCGCCUUGUCCCCAAGUGCAGGAGGCAGCAGUAGCAGUGCCACCAGGUGAGGUCCACGUGCAAGCUCAGAAGGGCCUGCUUAUAAAUAAAACUUUGCGGUUUGCGUUUGUGUGAGGCCAGACCCGUUUAGGCGUGUGCCGGACGGCCAGACCAUCCCGUCGGCCACCUAGGUCUGUGGUGCAUAAAAAUAUAAUGCUAUUUAUGAAGAAGUUAUCAGACAUAUGUAUUUUAACAACUUCAUUUCUCCGGAUCAAAAUUACCGAGGUUAUGUUUUGAACAACUUCAUUUUUCCGGGUCAAAGUUAUCACGGGUGUUUGUUCGUAAAUUACGAAGUAAGCGAUUGAAUAUUAUCGCGGUAUUUGUACGUAGUUAUCAGCACCGUUCUGCGUAUAUUACCAUGCUAUUUGUACAGAAGUUACCGAGGUAUGGUUUUCAACAA